UUCCUAAGACUACAUCUCCCAGAAUGCUGUGCUGUUCUCAAUCGUCAGACGGGUUACUGUUGCACCACGUACUGUGUUGGGUGGAAGAUUGUACGGUGGAAGCUAGGGGUCAAAAGCGCAUGCGCGUUCAAUGACGUGCUAAAACCACAGCGCCAUAUAGUGGCCUGGCAUGACAACUGCAGCUGAUUCCAGUGGCUCCAUGCUGCCUCCCAACCUCUUCUUGCUUCCAGCUGCGUGUUUACAGCGACCUAAAUGCCGUCAAACGACAGCGAGCAUCUUGGCGAGCCAGCAAGGGGCCCAGCCGUGGGCCGUCUAACCCCCAGGACCGACAGACGUCUGGUGGUGAUGCCACUCAACCCUCCCGCCAUGCGGCUCCUCCGGCAGCUGGACAGGCGCGCCAACCAGCGGGCGGCUUCUCGCAACAUGCUGGCCCUAAAAAUACACCAGUGUCCCCAGUGAUUCCUGCAGCAAACCAGUCUG